GCAGCCGUAGCUCAGCUGGAUAGAGUACAACACUACGAAUGUUGGGGUCCCAGGUUCGAAUCCUGGCGGUUGCACCA
rnacentral:tRNA from 1 species